CAAGACAAAAUCGUUACCACGUAUAAUAAUUUAAUGUUGUUAUUGAAAGAUUGCACAUACAUAAUAAGAUAUGCAUACCUUCACACAAUCCCAAAGUCGUUUAAUGUCACUAUCAGGCACUUCAAGUAACACAAGUUUCUCUGCACUAAGGUUUGAAGGUAAUGACUUCAACGGAUAUCCAUACCAGUGUAGAUAUUUCACUUCACCAAAUCCCGGAUCUUGCAAAUAAGAUAUCUUACAUUUGUUCUCUCCAUUGAAUGACGAACUAUAGAACUUUAAAAAUCUCAAUUUAGGCAUUUUUGUGAAAGUAUUAGGAUUUAGACGGAUCUCUUUUACUUUUGACAUAUCCAAACAGAUGCCCUCAAUUUUUUCUGUCCCCUAAAAAUAAAUAAAAAAAAUAAAGUUAAAAUCAAAUGAAAGAUGAUAUGUAUAUUCCACUAAUGAAUUGCACUUCAACCCCACCAAGAAAAACAAUUUGGGGCAAUUUUGUCACUAAUUUACAAUUAGAGGUAACUUAGUUAUUAAUUCAAUUUUUAUUUAUUCUUGCAUGGAGUUUAUGUGGGAUUGGAGCGGGGCUCUCUGUCAUUACUCGAAUCAAAUUUCAAUAAUUCAUGUUUAUAGUUAUUGCUACGCAGUUAAGAAACAUAAUAACACAAGUAAUAAUUAACAUAAAAAUUCUGCAUGUGUAAUAAUUUUACAUAUCAAUUAUGCUUGCAAACGGUUAUGCAAAUUGUCGUCGCAUUUAUAAUUUAUUGCUACGUCAUCUAACCACUAUUGUUUUUUCUAAUCAUUGCCACUCUUCCAUUAAUUCUAAGACUCACGAGUGCGAGCGUAUGUAAAUAUAUUCACAUGAAGUUUUUAAACACUACAUUGUUCCAAAAUAAUAAUACACAACAAACUACUUACCGUAUUAUACGUAAGAACUUCAUAGAUAUCUUCAUGAUGCCAGAGCCUACUGCGGUUUUCAGGAUUAGUUGAUUCUUGUCGAACAAUUUCCCGACCCAAUUCUUGUAGUAAAUCAUGCACUGUUAUCUUGUUGUAUGAAUCAAUAGCAAUGAGAGAUUUAUCAACAAGAACACUCAUUCCUAUUUCUGGGUAGAAGCCACUUGCAUUAAAAAAUUUCAUUAUUAUAUCUACAUCCUCACCUUGAAAGAAACAAGCAACAUCAAGGAAAAUAUUUUUCUCCUUAUCGUCCAAACUAUCAUAACUUAUUUUUAAUACCUCAAGAAUACUUGGAUGGAGGAUUCUUUGCAAUUUAUCUAUUGCACUUUCCCAGACUUCUUUUUCCCUUUUAUGCAGAAAGCAACCCAAAACUUUAAGAGCUAAAGGAACACCUUGAGCAUAUUUCAUUACUUUGCUUGAAAGUUUCUCAUAACCAACAUCAGGAUGGUUUUGUUUGAAGGCAUGUCGACUAAAAAGCUCAAGAGCGUGAUGAUAUUCUAAUGCCUGCAUCUCAUAAAUUUUCCUCACCCCCCAAUUUCGAAGCACUUGUUUAUUUCUGGUGGUUAUUAUGAUUCGACUCACAGGCGUCAACCAAUCAAGACUUCCAAUUAAAGAUUCUAAUUGGCUGAAGCAAGUCACAUCAUCAAAAACAAUCAAAACCUUCAUGCGGCUGAGCCUUCUAAAAUUGAGGUCAAUAUAAGGCAUCACAUUUUUAUCCUUCAAUAAAUUUGAAAGAAGUUUUUGUCGUAAGCAAGCUAAUCCUCCUGGUCUUUGUGACUCAUCUCUAACAUUUUCGAGGAAGCAAGAACCUUCAAAAUCACCCGAGAUUUUGUCGAAAAUAGCUCUAGCAAUUGCUGUUUUGCCUAAACCACCAAUGCCCCAAAUCCCUAAAGCAUAAACAUCUUUCGACUCAACACCUAAUAGGGAUUCAAUUUUCUCAACUGCUGAUUCUAGUCCAACCAGCUGGUUAUUGUUAUCACCCCGCCGAAACACUUCAUCCAAUCUCUUCAAAAUGUGAUUAACAACUUCAUUUAUAAGUUCCGACUCACGCCUAGCAAAUACAUAAAAUUAGCCGCGGUAACUUCAAAUUAAUUAAUAGGAGGAAUUUGUAUUAAUUAAGGUAGAUUGUUAGUUUUCCUAUUGAAAUUAAUAUAUUCCACUAUAAGUCUACAAUCUUACAAUUAAUUGAUUAACUCUUAAGUUACAGGAAUAUGUGUGAUUUUUUUUUUAAUGGUGGUAUCUGAGUGAGAGGUUGAAAUUGCUUGAAAAACUACAAAGCACCACUAAUUUUGCUAUAUAAAAAUUGUAAAAUUCUCGCGCUUUUAUUAUUAAUUCUGUCAAAAUUAUUUUACAUGAGCACAAAAGUGGGGAAGUCAGGAAGUUUAGAAUUUGAUGCUUAAAAUUUUUAAAAUUGUAGUUUAGCAUCCGGAAAUUUAACUAAGAGCGCUGCGUGAAUUUUAUUUAUUGUUAAAUAUUAGUAUGAGAAAUUAAAGGUUUAACUUUUCACCUGAUGUUAGGAGAAUGAAAUCCACACAAACUUGCUGCUUCCUCCAAAGCAUUCCUCCAACUCUGCAGCUUCUCAGUAUUCUCCUUUAAUCUUUCUUCAAGCUUCGAAAAUGAAUCUCCAAAACUCCCAGUUUGGUUUCUCACGUCUGAUGGAUCAACCCGAUAGAAAACCGGAAUCACAAUCUGUGCAUACUCCUUCUUGCAGUCGAGGAUCUUUACAAGUUCAUCGAGACACCAUCUGGAAGAUGCAUACCCUUCUGAGAAGACGAUAACUGAAAUGGCUGAUGCUUCAAUUGCAUUCACAAGUGACUCUGAAAUUUCAUCUCCUCUGUUAAGUUGGUCAUCAAUGAAAGUUUGGAUAUUUUGUCGACUCAGAGAAGAAUAGAGAUGGCUAGUAAAGUUGUCGCGGGUGUCCUCUCCUCUGAAACUAACAAAAACAUCAUACUUCUUGUUGUUUCGAUAAGAAGAAGCCAUAAUCAACAGAAACAGUUGAAUUGAUUAGAGAGAGAUUUCGAUUCGAAUGAAAACAAUUAUUCAAUUUCAUGAACCUUCCUUCAAGUUCCGUGAUAAUUUUUCAAUUUCAUCUCAUUGUCCAACCACCGUGCACUCCACGAUGAUUGAUUAAUUCAACUGCCUUGUAGACUUUUAGCUGAAAAUUCCACACGAACACCAUACUUUUCAACACACGUGCUUCUGUGCUUUAAUGCUCAUAACUGCCAGCAAUAAGUAGGGUGAUAUUUUAAUUUUUAUCUCUGAAUUUAUCUUAUCCGUCCUCAUCUCUCAAUUAAUUGUAUUUAGUUUCCAAAUUAUUCUUUUUUUUUGUUUUAAUAGCUCUUAUUCAUGUUCCUUAGCGUUUAAAGUCUAAAAAAAAUUAGUUAUUUAUUUUUUAUAACUUAUAUAUGAUUUUUAAAUAUUUAUAUUUAAAUUAAAAAGUAAUUUUUUUUUGUGACCUUUGCCUAAAUGAGAAAAUGUUUCAAUGAAAAAUAAAUACUAUAUUCUAAGAAUAUUUCUAUUCAAUAUUGUUAUUUCCUAAACUAUAUUGUCAUAUGUGGCUAAUUGUCAAAGCAAUAGCAAGCUGUUAGCUUAAAGCAAAGCAUAUUCAUGCUUCACCCAUGAGAAUACAACCAAUUCUAAUGCAUGUAUUGUGACGCACGUGCAAACUAAAAGGAGGCACAUGGGUUAAUUGUCAAAGCAAUAGCAAGCUGUUAGCUUAAAGCAAAGCACGUGCGUGCUUCAUCAAUAGGAUCUGUGAGUGGAUUAUUAUUAUUAUUAUUACUAUUAUAUAUUUCACAAAACAUUUAUGUUUGAUAGUAUGAUUUAGUAUAAUGUUAUGAUUAUAUGUACGUACAUUAUAUGAUUGACUGAGUCAUGAGAUGUAAUUGACAGGCACCAUAUGUGUACAUUUCCUCAUAGGCUCUACGCAUACGUAUUGAGAGUUAAAUUACUCGACCCUUGUGAUAUUGUAAAUUCUACUGAGUAUUGAGAGGUUUUUCUCCCUUUUUUACUCGUGUGAUGAUGAUCCCAGUGAGUAUUGAGAGUUAUUUUCCCUGUAUAUUAUUUGGUGCAAUUUUGUCAUGUGUGUAUAUACGAGUUCAUGUUUGCUUUUGUAAAGCGUUCAGUGUAAAGUUAUGUCAUACAAUUAUGACGAGCACUAAAGCACUAAUUUAUUUUUAUAUAUAAUUAUAUUCAUUCAUUGAGCCGCAAGCUUACUAUUUUCCUAUUUACCCCAUUUCUCUAAGGUUUCCAUAGGAUUUCGUGUAUUUCAAUUUCUGAUCAAUUGAGGUUGGGCCACGACACGCAUUACUGCACGAAUUACAUUUUGACCACGUUUAUAUUUAUAUGUAUAUUUUUGAAGUGUAUGUAUGUUCAGUGAGAUAUGAACUAUGUAAGUUUUUAAUAAAUUUUUGAAUGAGGCACAUAGAUUAUUAUAUGUUUAUAACAAAGGCCAAGGCUAGUGUUAUAUAUUCAUGAAUUAAGUUUAUGUCAUGAGCUUUAGAUAUAAAAUUGCAUGAUUCACCCCAGAUCCAACAGAAGGGUUGAGGUGAUUUGUGUCAUGUAUGAUAUGUACAUAUUUAUAUUCAAUAUAACCACCAUUUGAAUGAUAGUUUUUUAAAAUCAGUGCACAUGUGUCGUAUCAUAACUCACUUGUUGUAUGGCUAACAUGGUACUUCUGAUAUAAUCUAAAAUUUCUUCCUUAGUUAGAGGCAUUUGUUUUAAAAUUUUAUUUAAAAGAAGGUCAUUUUAAAUUUCAAAAUGUAAAGUGUAUUUUCUACAACACUAAAGGAUGAAACAUCCUUCAAUAUAGAUUUCUUAAUAAAUUUUAAGAGAACUAACAGAAAGUGGUUAUUUCAUUCAUGGUUAUUAAAUCAAAAUUUGAAUUAGAUCAUCACUGGUCCAAAAUAAACUAUCGUCAUUUCAAAUUGAAGCAUGAAACCGUGAAUGGAUGCAUCCUUAAAUAAAAGGAUACAUUUUUAUUAUAUAUGACACUGUUUAAUUAGAUAUAUCUUUACAGUCAGGACACAUUUUUAGAGCACCAUUUAUAUUGAAAAUAUUCCAGCAUAAAAUAUGUCUCUCUCCUUAUACGAGUAUUUUGCAAAUAAUUUGCAAAUAAUACAGAGCCACCACGAGUUCAAAAAUAAUAAAACAAUAACAUUGCUCACUUGCUGGACUGGGCUGGACUGGGCUGAUUGGGCUGGGCCUGCUUUCAUCAUCGCAUACACGGUGAGGGAAAUUGAAAUUGAUGAUGGCGUUGGCCGCUCAAUUCCUGCUUCGGAUUCCCCAACUCGGAAGGAAAAAUAUAAACUUUCCGUCGUAUAAGCAUCGCGGGAAUUAUCAGCCAUUGUUGUUGUCUUGCAAUUACAGCACCAAUGACAAUUGUUCUUCAACUUCUUCUUCUUCUUCUUCUUCUUCGAAGAAUUACUUAGAAUUGACGGACGAUGAGAUGUUUCGCGAAUGCUAAAUGGACGCGUACAAAUCGUCGGGACCAGGCGGUCAGCACCGCAAUAAGCGCGAAUCUGCCGUACGUCUCAAGCACGUACCGACCGGCGUCAUAGCACAUGCCGCCGAACACCGAUCGCAGCACAAGAAUCGCGCGUCAGCUUUGUCGCGCCUCCGCACUCUUUUGGCCCUCAAAGUGAGGAGCAGUGUGAAUCUUGAUGCGUAUUCGCCGCCGCCACAGCUUCUUCAAAUCCUUCCUCCUAAGUCUACUAUUAGAAGUUCAGAAGUUGGUCCACAAAUUGGACCUAACAAUCCUAAAUUUGCUUUGGUAUUACUCUAUUCACUCUUGCUUUGUUUUUUUGUUUUCUGUUAAAAUUUAAGUCAUCGUAAUGUUUUUUUUUUUGGUUAACUUCAGGGAAUGCAAGCUCUGCUUGAUCUAAUUUUCGUAGGUUAAGCACUGGAGCAUUGUCACGGUUGAUUCUAUUGGAUGAUUCUCUUCGAAUGGCCGUGAAUGAGUUCAGGACUUCUAAGGUAUGCUAAUUCAUAGCUGAUAGUGUGUAUUACGAUAAGAUUCAACCUGUUGGUUAAUUUAAAAUUGUUAUAUUCUUUCUUAUUUGUGCAACAAAUAUAAUAAGUCUGUUUUUUGUGGUUGAGUGUCUGCGUCAGUGCCUGAUGGCAUUUUUUGUGGUUUAAGUAGCUUUAUAGCAUAUUUGGCUCUCUGUUUAUGAAUAAUGUUCAAUAGCAACCUGCCCCAUUGAUACGAGAAAUGUAUGAUAUAAUUUUUCAAGAUACCUACCUGCAUUAUGAAUUGUUAUUGGAAGGAAGUACGAGAAUAAAUUAAGAGCAAAGACUGAUUAAAAGAUGUAUCUUUCAUUAUUAAGCGAAGUGUAUGUUCUGCUUCUCAUUCACUUUACCAGAAUUACAAAAGUUUUAUGUUAUUGAUGGUUGGAUAGUUUCUGGGUUAUCCUUGUUUUUUUUUUUUGUGUUAAUUGCUUUACAUACAUUAUGUGUGUAAUUUUUUAAUGGACAAUCUUCAUUUGAAACAUGAAAAUUUUAAAAAACUUUCCGAUUUGUGCAGGGUAUGAAGCCUCUUAAGUAGGACUUCUUAGGUGCUACUAUUGUGUUCGGCAAAUAUUUUCUUCUUUUAUUUUUCUUUUUUCAGUCACCAUAAUGGGAGUCAUGGUGAAACAACUUACUAAUCACUCUGGACAGGAAUGGGCUUCUGUAAGUGAAGCACACUUAUUUCACUCUUUCCUUAGUAUGGAGCUGCUUACCGUUGGGAUGAAGAUGGUAAUAGCUGCUUUAGAAAUUAGUUUUCUUCAGUAGGAAAAUUCUAAAUCUUGGAAAAUUUAAAGUUGUACUAGAAAACAAGCUGCCUAUUCAACCAAUGGCUAAAUGUAGCAUAGUAGUCUCCUUAGACGAUUAAUUAGAUUGCAUUCCUUUUGAUCUCUCUCUUUUCAUUUUUUCUCCUUUUUGACUUGCACCUCUCUGUUCCUUUCCCCAAAAAAAAAUUUGCACUUCUCUGCUGAUGUCUUCCCAAUAUCCUAUGAUGCACAAAUGCACAAAUACUCUUGAAAUGUGGUGAAAUGUUUAUGGUAUUACUUGUCGUAGCAGAAGCAUCCUCCUAAAAUUAUUUAUAAGAAACUCUUUUUACUCUCUAUGCCAGUGGAGUGGGCCUUCAAAAGGAAAGGAAAAGUAGUACCUAAAGUUGUGAAAAGGAAGAAUUUGCAAGUCAAAAAUGAAUAUAUUAUGCAUGGCUACAUAAAUUGGUACAUAUAGCUUUUGCACCUAAUCUGAUUAUCUCGAUUCCUGGACCCAGAACUAAUAGCCUAAUUAUUACACAAGAUAUUUUGCUGCUGUCAUACUACUUGCAUAUAUGAAUGCUGAUUUUUAAACGGAAAUAUUUAACAGAGCACUGACAGAAACAGAGGUAACACCCGAGCCGGGUUACCGUGGUAAUUGAAAACAAUCAAUUAACACGAUAAAUCUGGUGGGUUUGUAGUUAAUUCUGCCAGCGCUCUGUUAGCUCCAGUAUUUGACUUAUUGACCUAUCUGUGGUUGAAAGAAAAAUGAUUUAAGUAAACUUUCGAAAAUGUUUUAUCCUUGUUUUAUUUCUGAAUAUCAGCAGUGCAUCAUUUUGAAAAUGUGACUAUGGGGUUUCAGGAUCCUCUCGAGCCAGUUUUGUUGUUCACAAAACCCCUUGUGCCAGAAAAAUUGGAUGCUGCAGGUAUUGUUCCGCCAUCAGAUUCUUCUACGAGGAAUGGCACUAUAGCAAGAACUCACAAAUUUCAUGGAAGAAUUGGUCGAGGGGGGCGGAUAGUAUUUGAUAGAUGUAAUCCUCUUAUGCACUCCUCAACUGAUAGUGCCACGUCUUUUUACUUGCCACCAAAACCCCGCACAUCUAUGUACAGUUAAAUUGUCCGAGCUCGAGCAUUAUUCGUUAGGGAGCCAAGUGUAAUUAUGCUCCGGCUGAUAUUUAUGUAGUUAAAUUGAAUACUUCCAUUGUCCGAGCUCCAGCAAUUAUUUGUUUGGGAAGCCAAGUGUAGUUAUGCCGAGGGCAAGCAAAAUACUGGGCUUGAUGAAUCUUUUGAGGCUUGGUCACAGGUAUUUCAUGCCGUGCAUCAUCUUGCCUUAUUCUUUUUAAAGAAAUGACCUUGCCCUAAUUUUCCUUUCAAGUUUAAACUUAAUGAGCUUUUAUUACAUCCUUUAUUGUUGAAAUGCUUGUGCUAAUCAUAGUAUUUUCAAAAUUUCCGCGCCCCAGUUGAUUAUAAAUUUUGUGUGAAUAUUACAAGAUAAAACUUACCUUUAAAAUGUUAACGAACCUGUAAGAUUGGACUUCUCUUUAAGACCUUGAAUUAAGUGGAGGGUGUUUUGGGGUUAAUAAACCAGCAACUAUGCAUAUACUUGGCCAAUGAGGAAUCCUACUAGUACAGAAUAAGGUUGCACAAGACAGUUGAAUAGAUGACGCAAUGGAGACGUCUCUGUAUCGACUCAAUUCAAACUAAUUGUACAACUUCAUUUCUGAAGGAGUCACCAUUUUUAAUCCCAUUUGGAGAAUGUGUACAUCAGGUGCUAAUGCUUAUAAUGAAAAUGAUGCACUAUGUUUUGUGUUUUUCGAAUUUAAAAAUGUGUCUAAUAGUGUAUUUUCAGAAUUGGACUAUAAAAAUAAAAAUAGAGAAAACGAUAUAAAAUUAAGGUAAUACUGGACGAAAAAGUAUGGCCAAGGAAGCAGUAAUAUUUGGUGCAUUUCAUUUUUUCAAUAAAAAAAUGAAAACAAAAUUUUCAAUAUCUAUUCAUCAUUUUUUGGAAAAAAAAAAAAAAGCUUAAAGAAUAAAUGAAAGGGUGUUUUAAAACAAAAAUGUGAUUGGUGUUUGAAAAAUGACUGUCUCGGUUAGGUAAAACAGUCACAUAAUCAUUUUUUUUUAAAACACAAACCUUUUGGUUCAUAAAUAAUCACACAAAUUCUAAUGUUUUAUCUAAAAGAGAGUCUGUGUAUCUCAAAAGAGACAUGUGUGACAUUUUCUAAAAACAAAAUAUCUUUAUAGUUAUUUUGCCAAAUCACGUGUUGCCUUUAGAAAUAGAAUAGAUUUUAAUUUGCCCAAUUUACAAUAAAAAUCUUUAAUUUAUCACCUAAAAGUAAUUUACCCUAUUUAUUAUUAAGAAGAUUAAAAAAAAGAAAAUUCAUCAAUACAUUCCUUAUUUGCCCCUCGUCUUUUGGACGAAAAUGAAGAAUAAAUUGAGGUUUACAUUGAGAGCAAAUUAGAGAUUAUCAUUUUAUUUGGGAAUGAAUUGAAGUUUAUCCUUAGGAAUAAAAAUUCAAGAGAAGUACACGAAAAAGGUAAUAAUUUUCACUUUUUAUGGAGUAUUUGGAUAAGGGUAUUUUGCACCCCACUAUUUUUAUAAAUCCACCCUAUUUCUAGAAACUAAUUGCAAUGAAUUCACAAUAUUUUUUAAAAAAUACAAAUUAAUAAAAAUUUUGUAUAGUUAAUAAGUUAAAUCCUUCUAUUGAUUUUCUUCAUGAGUUCUUUGACCAUAUUUAAUCAUAAAGUUUAAUACAAAAUUUAUUUUAGUAUUUUAUUAUUAUGAUAUAUAGCGACUAAAUUACCAUAAUAAACAUGAGUUAUUGUAUCUAAUAAUUUAUGUAUCUAAUUUUGUGGCUUAUAAUAUAAUAUUUUUAAAUAAAAUCUAAUUGUGAUUUUCUCUACUUUAAUGUGUAAAUAACAUAAAAUUGACAUCCCAAUAAUUUACAUGAGUAUCAUGCCCUAAAGAUACUACUUUAGUUUAAUUAAAGAUUAAAACUUACACUAGUAAAGUAGUAUUAGAAACAAUGAGUUUGGUAUAAAAUUAGAAAAAUAUUUAAAUUAAAGUAAAUUCUUAAUAGUUUUACCUUAUAAGGGUAAAAUAAUCAAUUUAAACUUAUGACAAAGCAAUCUUUGUAGCUAAAUAUAAUAAAAUAAUCUAAAUCAUAAGAAAGUAAACUAAAAUAAAUCUAGUUAAUUAACUCUACAAAGUUCUUCUUUGUUUGAAAAUUUUAAAACAUAACAUGUAUGUUUUAUAAUUAUUUUUUAAAAAACGGGAUGAGUUUGCAAAAAUUAUUAGACGGAAAUACCAUCACCCGGAGUAUUUUAGUAAAGCACCUGAUAUUCGUUUCAGACGAAGUAUUAUUAUUUUGAUUUUUCAGGAAUAUCAGUAAAAUUUUCAUAUAAUAGUGGAAUAAGCCCAAUAAAUAAUUGUAUAAAAAUUUUUUGUCAUAGCCAUAGUCUCAUUGAGGUGGAAGCAGGGGAGGAGUAGGCCAAGCCAGGCCACAGAAAAUAUUCAAUUGAAAAAGCAAGAAAGGAAUGAGCGUGUGGAUGGUAAGGGCUCGGGCUCCCUCUUUCAUUAUUCCAAUAACAACACUCAGGAUUGGAAAUGGAAAUGGAGAUGUAAAAGGCCGGCGCUUGCCCCUAUUGAGCAAUAAGAAUUGGCAGUUUCAGUUGCAGUUGGAGUUGCAGCAGAGGAAUGAGGAGAAGAAGAAGAGACAAAAUGUUACCAUCAGUUAUACUAACAGUAGCAGUGGAGGGGAUUCUGCUUCUGCUGCACUGGAAUUGGAGGUUAAUGAGACAAAAUGUUACCAUCAGUUGUUCAGAAGCCAACUGUGCUUAUAGGUAAUUCUGUUGGAAGCCUAGCUUGUGUUAUCGCUGCCUCAGGUAUAUUUAUUUUAACUUCCCCUUGGACAUCAGAUAUUUUUCAACUUGCUUGCAAAGAAACACUUGUCGCUAAUUAUCCUUUUUGGUAUCUAUGGUUUACGAUAAACCUGCUAUAUUUUCUACCAUAAGAAUCCAGUCAAACCCUUGUUCGAGGGCUUGUUCUGUUGAAUUGUGCUGGUGGCAUGAACAACAAGGCAAUUGUUGAUGAUUGGAGAAUCAAGCUAUUGUUACCAUUGCUUUGGUUCAUUGAUUUUUUGUUGAAGCAAAGGCCAAUUGCUUCUGCUAUAUUUGAGCGUGUGAAACAAAGGUAUUUUCUCUUCUCUCUAUUCAGUCCAUUGUUCAUUAUCCCAAGACACUAGAGUCAAAAUUAAAAAAAAAAAAAACUCUAUGAUGUGCAUAUCUUGGUGCUGUAGGGAAACACUGAGGAAUAUUUUACUGUCCAUUUAUGCAAAUAAGGAAUCUGUGGAUGAAACACUGGUUGAGGUAUUAAUAUUCUCCUCUUAUAUGCCAUUUUAACCUGUUACAAAAAUGGCUACUCAGAAUUCAUGAAUAAACCUCAAAACUGCAGAUCAUACGAGAGCCUGCCAAUGAGGAAGGGGCACUUGAUGCAUUUGUUUCGAUUGUAACAGGCCCACCAGGGCCGAACCCAGUUCAAUUGAUGCCAUCCAUCUCUGUACCUGUACUAGUUUUAUGGGGUGAUGAGGAUCCAUUCACACCCCUCGAUGGACCUGUUGGUAAAUACUUCUCAUCUCUGCCUUCUAAACCCUCAAAUGUGAAGUUAAUUGUAUUGGAAGGAGUAGGACAUUGCCCCGAUGACGACAGGCCUGAGUUGGUCCAUGAAAAGAUGCUUCCUUGGUUGGCUGAAACAUUUAAUUUCUGAGGAAUUACUUUCUCAUCAGCAAGUUUUAAUGAGCAUUAUAUAUUAUUCCUAUUGUAAAAAGACAAAACAACUCUUGUAUUUAUGUUGUACAUAUCAAUUCUUAUUCAACCGCUUGGUUAUCUUUUGGCGCCGAAAGGAAUGUUGGAGAAACUGAUCUCUGACAAGUUGUAGAAGCUCCAAAUUGAUUCAAGAAAUGUAUCAAAUUAUUCAAUAAAAAAUAAAAUUCAGCACAAUAAUAAAGAAUAAUGAUUUAGUAAUCCAUAUUGCUCAUGUCAAUGAUAUGAGAAUGAUAAGAUCCAAUUUUAUACAUGAAAAAGAUACAAUAAUCUAAAUCGAAAUAUAAGUUCACAGGCAUCCUCAAUCCUUUCCUUACAAGUCAUUUUUGUAAAUAUAAAUGCUAACCAUAGACGAUACCACAUCAACUAUGCAAUCAAAUGCACCAUUCCAAAUAUGGAAUUGGUAGAGAUACUUGAAAAAGUGCAUACAUGUUUAAGCAAAUGGAUUCACAACUCAGGUGAGUUGAGUGAAAAUGACACCUAUCUCAGUCUUCUUCGUUACAGUUGAACCAUGUGCUUGGGUCUUCCAUUGACGUAGGAUCUGGGGUGUGAAGUAAAUGGAUCCCACAUUUUUUCACCCCGCAGCACUGGCACUCCAAAGGUGGAAAAACAUUAAAGUGGACAGCCUCAGGAAUGCAAUUGCAUUUCCAAAAACCAUUAAAAUCAUCUUCGCAGAACAGAUAGUACCCCAAAUGUAAGUGAUCUGAUUCUACAUAAUUAACUCUGCUCUGAGAUAAUCGUGUGUCAUGCGUACCACAAUCUUUGGUGGUUUUCACUUUGAGCUCAAAAGAAAAUGAAAACCAUCUGCCACAAUCUACAUGACGGUCUGAAAAUGCUAAAAUAGCACUAAAUGCAAUGCCCUGCACUCUGCUAUUAUUGAAGAAAUCUGCCGGCAUCUCCAAGGUUAUAAAAGAUCCCACACUUUGAAACUCAAACCACUUUGGAAUUUCAUUCCCAGGUAGUACUAUAUGACCUUUGCCCAUGUAAAAACUUCUCUGUACCAAAAAAACAUAAUUUUAAACGCAAAAAAAAAAAAGAUUGUAGAAAUUGUAAGUAGAGAGAGAGUUAAAGACACACAUUUAGCCAUACUUCUUGCCAACGUACAGCUAGCGUAUGGUUCGUAUGCUGAAUUCUCAGGGUAUCUUCAACAAUUCCUGCAGUAGAAUUACCUUCCAAUUUAAAAUUAUUGCUCCGGUCAAAAAAAAUUGCCUGUAAGAUUCAUAACUUAGAGAACAAACCUAUAAAUGGUUGCAGUGACAAGCAACCUCGUUCAAGGAAUGGAGGCUUUUGUACGAAUUUGAACCUCUCACCAUAACUUAAGAGGAGGUAUCCCGACACGAAAAGCUGGAUAAUGCUUUCUGGUAUUCACUCAAUAUUGGUUUUCGCUAGAUUCAAUGUUAUUGGCGAGGAUAAUUGGCCAAGACAUUCGGGCAAUCUCUGAAGAUUUGAGCAACCAUGGAUAUCAAGAGCUCCAAGAGAUUUCAAUCUAUAGAGGCUGCUUGGGAGACUCUUAAGCCUUUUACAAUCUGAAAGGUCCAGCCACGAAAGCCUAAGUAGACGCUCAAUCGAUGCGGGCAGUUCUUCAAUUGCAAUCCUCCUUAAAAAUAACCAGCUUAUAUUACCUGGUGAGAUCUCUGGAAGCCUUUUCAGUUUUGAGCAGCCCGAUAGAUCAAGUUUGGUAAGAAAUUCCAAGUUAAAUAUUCCAGAUGGAAGACUUUUCAGGCUUUUGCUACCUCUUAGAUUCAACGUAACUAGCUUGUUCAGACGUGGCAUCAACGUGGGAUUUGGAAUUUUGGAAAUUAGCUUAUGGCAGGCAGCAUGGAUUAUCUGGUUUAACUUACUAUAAUGCUGCUCGGUCAAAAAAGAGGCCAAGACAAAAUCGUUACCACGUAUAAUAAUUUAAGGUUGUUAUUGAAAGAUUGCACAUAUAUAAUAAGAUAUGCAUACCUUCACACAAUCCCAAAGUCGUUCAAUGUCACUAUCAGGCACUUCAAGUAACACAAGUUUCCCUGCACCAAGGUUUGAAGGCAAUGACUUCAACGGAUAUCCAUACCAGUGAAGAUAUUUCACUUCAGCAAAUCCGGAAUCUUGCAAAUAAGAUAUCUUACCUUUGUUCUCUCCAUUGACUGAAGAACUAUAGAACUUUAAAAAUCUCAAUUUAGGCAUCUGUGUGAAAGUAUUGGGAUUUAGACGGAGCUCUUUUACUUUUGACAUAUCCAAACAUAUGCCCUCAAUUUUUUCUGUCCCCUAAAAAUAAGUGAAAAAGCAAUAAAGUUAAAAUCAAAUGAAAGAUAUGUGUAUUCCACCAAUGAAUCGCACUUCAACCCCACCAAGUCAAAUUUUUGGGGCAAGUUUCUCACUAAUUCACAAUUAGAGGUAGCUUAGUUAAUAAUUCAACUUUUUAUUUAUUAUUUAGUCGAGUUUAUGUGGGAUUGGAGUGGACUCUUCGUCAUUUCUCAAAUCAAUAAUUCAUGUUUUUAGUUAUUGCUAGGCAGUUAAACUUUUAAUUGCAAAUGCACAAAGAAACAUAAUAACACAAGUAAUACUUAAUAUAAAAAUUCCGUCUGUGUACUAUACAAAUUGGCAUAUCAAUUAUGCUUGCAAACGAUUAUGCAAGUUGUCAUGGCAUUUAUAAUUUAUUGCUACGUCAUCUAACGGAUAUGGUUUUUUCUAAUCAUUGUUGCUCUUCUAUUAAUUCUAAGACUCAUCAGUUCGAGCAUAUAUAAAUAUAUUCAUAUCAAGUUUGUAAAUGCUAGAAUAUUUCAAAAUAAUUAUCCACAACAAACUGCUUACCAUGUUAUAUGUAAGAACUUCAUAGUAAAUCUUGCAUUCUUAUCUUGUUGUAUGAACCAAUAGCAAUGAGAGAUUUAUCAACAAGAACACUUAUUCCUAUUUCUGGGUAGAAACCGCUUGCAUUAAGGAAUUUCAUUACUAGAUUUACAUCCUCGCCUGGAAAGAAACAAGCAACAUCAAGGAAAAUACUUUUUUCCUCAUCGUCCAAACUAUCGUAACUUAUUUUUAAUACCUCUAGGAUACUUGGAUGGAGGAUUCUUUGCAAUUUAUCUAUUGCACUUUCCCAGACUUCCUUUUCUCUUUCAUAUAGAAAGCAACCCAACACUUUAAGAGCUAAAGGAACACCUUGAGCAUAUUUCAUUACCUUGCUUGAAAAUUUCUCGUAACCAACGUCAGGACGGUUUUGUUUGAAGGCAUGUCGACUGAAAAGCUCAAGGGCGUGAUGAUAUUCUAAUGCCUCCAUCUCAUAUAUUUUCCUCACCCCCCAAUUUCUAAGCACUUGUUUAUUUCUGGUGGUUAUUAUGAUUCGACUCACAGGCGUCAAACAAUCAAGACUUCCAAUUAUAGAUUCUAAUUGGCUGAAGCAAGUCACAUCAUCAAAAACAAUCAGAACCUUCAUGCGGCUGAGCCUUCUAAAAUUAAGACCAAUAUCAAGACUCACAUUUUUAUCUUUCAAUAAAUUUGAAAGAAGUUUUUGUCGCAAGCAAACUAAUCCUCCCGGUUUUUUUGACUCUUCUCUAACAUUUUCAAGGAAGCAGGAACCUUCAAAAUCGCUAGAGAUUUUGUUAAAAAUAGCUCUAGCGAUUGUUGUUUUGCCUAUACCACCAAUGCCCCAAAUCCCUAAAGCGUAAACAUCUUUCGACUGAACACCUAGUAGAGAUUCAAUUUCCUCAACUCUUGAUUCUACUCCAACCAGCUGGUUUUUGUUAUCAUUCGGCCGAAAAACUUGAUCCAGCAGUCUCUUUAAAAUGUGAUUAAUAGCUUCGUUUAUAAGUUCCGAUUCAGGCCUACCAAAUACAUAAAAUUAGCAGCAGUAACUUCAAAUAGAAGGGAUUUGCAUAAAAUUUGAAAUAAAGGAGAUUGCUAGUUUUCCUAUUGAAAUUAAUAUAUACCACUUAUUUUUUUUUCAUAAGGAUAAUAUUGCAAAGUGAUGGUACCAGGAGAGUUAUUAAAUAUUGUAAAAAUAGUCAGAAUAAGUAGUAUAUAUUGAUUUGAGUAAGAGAAUUUACAAUCUCCCUAUAAAUUAAUAACUCUUUAAUUGCAGGAAUAUGUUACAUGUGGAAGAGAUUUUUUUUUUCCUAAUGGUAUAUGAGUAAGAGAUUGAAAUUGAUUAAAAAACGACAAAACACCAUUAAUUUUGUUAAAAUAUAUUGUAAACUUCUGGAGCUUUUAUUAUUAAUUCUGCAAAAAUUCUUUUAUAGGAGUUCAAAAGUGGGGAAGUUAAAGAAGUCUAGAAUUUGAUGCAUGAAAAAAUUUAAAAGUGUAGUUUAUCAUCUGGAAAAUUUAACUAAGAGUGCUGCGUGAAUUUUAUUUACAGUGUUGAAUAUUAGUACGAGAAAUUAAAGGUAACUUUUCACCUGAUGUUCUGAGAAGGAAAGCCAGACAAACUGGCUGCUUCCUUCAAAGCAUUCCUCCAUGUCUGCAGCUUCUUUGAAUUCUCCUUAAACCUUUCUUCAAGCUUCGAAAAUGAAUUGCCAAAACUCCCAGUUUGGUUUCUCACGUCUGAUGGAUCAACCCGAUAGAAAACCGGAAUCACAAUCUGUGCAUACUCUUUCUUGCACUCGAGGAUCUUUACAAGUUCAUCGAGACACCAUCCAGAAGAUGCAUACCCUUCUGAGAAGACAAUAACUGAAAUGGCUGAUGCUUCAAUUGCAUUCACCAGUGACUCCGAAAUUUCGUCUCCUCUGUUAAGUUGGUCAUCAAUGAAAGUUUGGAUAUUUUGUCGACACAGAGCAGAAUAGAGAUGGCUAGUAAAGUUGUCGCGGGUGUCCUCUCCUCUGAAACUAACAAAAACAUCAUACUUCUUGUUGUUUCGAGAAGAAGAAGCCAUAAUCAACAGAAACAGUUGAAUUGAUGAGAGAGAGAUUUUGAUUCGGAUGAAAACAAUUAUUGAACCAAAUGUGCGUGACUCUGUAGAAUAAAUCGAUGCUAUGAACCUUCCUUCAAGUUCCGUGAUAGUUUUUCAAUUUCAUCUCAUUGUCCACACGAACACCAUACUUUUCAACACACGUGCUUCUGUGCUUUAAUGCUCAUAACUGCCAGCAAUAAGUAGGGUGAUAUUUUAAUUUUUAUCUCUGAAUUUAUCUUAUCCGUCCUCAUCUCUCAAUUAAUUGUAUUUAGUUUCAAAAUUAUUCUUUUUUUUUUUGUUUUAAUAGCUCUUUUUCAUUAUCCUUAGGGUUGAUUGUUAAACAUAUGAAGUCUAACAUUUAAAAAAAUAUUAAUUUUUUUUAAUAACUUAUAUAUAAUUUUUAGACAUUUACAUUUAAAUUAAAUAAGUAAAUUUUUGCGACCUUUUCUGAAAUGAGAAAAUGUUGGAAUGAAAAAUAAAUAAUAUAUACUAAAAAUAUUUCUAUUCAGUAAAUUUAUUUCCUAAACUACGAAGCCUAAUCCCUUUUACUCAUUUUGAACUUUGGAGAACAAAUUAAAAAAUCUAUUUUAAUUUACUUUUUGUGACUUAAAUUUUUUUAUUAUAUUUGAUCAUAAAGAUUGAUUUGACAUAAGUCUAAAUUGAUUAUUUUAUCCUUAUAAGGUAAAACUAAUUCUUUAACUUCAAUAUUUUCUAAUUUUAUAUCAAAUUCAUUAUUUUUAAUACUACUUUAUUAGUAUGAUUGUAAAACAUUAAUUAAAAAAACAUAAUGUCUUUAUGGCACAAUACUCAUGUAAAUUAUUAGCUUGUCAAAUUUACAUCAUUUACACGUAAGAUAGUGAAAAUAAUAGUUAAAUUUCAUUUAAAAAUAUUAGUUCACAUAAUUAAAUACCUAAAUUAUUAGAUACAAUAACCCGUGUUUAUUGUACAAUUUGGCCAUUUUAUAUCAUAAUACUAAAAUAGUAAAGUAAAAUUUAUAUCAAGUUAUGAUCAAAUAUACUCAAAGAAAUCUAAUAAAAAAAAUAAUAGAAGGAUUUAAUUGAUUAACUAUACAAAAUUUUUAUUAAUUUGUAUUUUUUUAAAAAUAUUAUGAAUUCAUUAUAAUUAUGGUAUACAACAUGUGAAUUUAUCAAAGCCUAAGUCAACCCAAACUAAAAUCAAAUUAAAAUGAUUUUAGUUGGGUUGCGUUGGACUGUUGCCCAAACUUUGGGUUGGUUUAGUUUGAAACUUGCGCUUGGAUCUUCGGUUGAAUUUGGGGCUUACAAUAAAUCGACCCCACAUUUUUUCUUCCCGCAUUCCGUAGAAUAAUAUUAUAUGUAAUAAAAUAACACAAAAUUUAUUACACAAGGCACAAAUGACAAAAAAUAAUUUUCAUCUUGUAGUGAACUUUUACUUUUCUUAUUGAUAAUGUACUAUUUUUUUAAUUCUAUUUACUUCUGUGAACAUAUAAUUGUAGGCAUCCACAAAUGUUAAGGAUAAGCAAUUAUUUCAUAUAAGUUAUUUCACAACUCCUGUACUUAUAUCAUCAAUUGCUUGACCUUUAGUUAUUUUCCUUGCUAACUUGAGUGAGACUCACCGAUGCAGCUAAUAUUGGAUUUCUUGGAUGAAGCUGCUCAGAAGCCAAUAGUGACAUGAAAAUACCAGGUAUAUUAAUUUAACUUCUACCUUGUGUUUUUGCUGCCUCAGGUAUAUUAAUUUAACUUCCUCUUGGGCAUCAGAUAUUUGUCAUCAUGCUUGCAAAGAAACACUUGCACCUGAUUAGCCUUUUCGGUUAAUAUGGUUUGCGAAAACCUGCUAUAUUUUCUACCAUAAAAAUCCAGUCAAACACUUGUUCGAGUGCUUGUUUUGUUGAAUUGUGCUGGUGGCAGCAUGAACAACAAGGCAAUUGUCGAUGAUUGGAUAAUCAAGCCACGGUUGCCAUUGCUUUGGUUCAUUGAUUUCUUGUUGAAGCAAAGGCCAAUUGCAGAUGCAAUCUUUGAAGAUGUGAAAAGAAGGUAUUUUCUCCUCUCUAUUCAGUCCAUUUUUUGUUAUCCUAAACCACUAGAAUCAAAAAUUAAAAAAUUCUAUGAUGUGUAUAUAUUGGUGCCGUAGGGAAACACUGAGGAACAUUUUACUGUCCAUCUAUGCAAAUAAGAAGUCUUAUUCAACCGCUUGAAUAUCUUUUGGCGCCGAAAAAAAUGUAGGAGAAACUGAUCCCUGACAAGUUGUAGAAGCUCCAAAUUGAUUCAAGGCAUAUAUCAAAUUAUUCAAUAAAAAGUCAAAUUCAGCACAAUAAUAAAGAACAAUUAUUUAGUAAUCUAAAUUGCUCAUGUUAACGAUAUGUGAAUGAUAGGAUCCAAUUUUAUACAUGGAAAAAAUACAAUAAUCUAAAUCGAAAUAUAAAUUCACAGGCAUCUUCAAUCCUUUCCUUAUAAGUCAGUUUUAUAAAUAUAAAUUCCAGCCAUAGACGAUACCACGUCAACUAUGGAAUCAAAUGCACCAUUCCAAAUAUGGAAUUGGUACAUAUACUUGAAAAAGUGCACACAUUUUCAAAUGUGCGCAAUGGGGUGAGGGGCAAGUUUUCAUUGAUAGAGAACUUGUGAGUUUUAUUGUUGUGCGUUCUGUAAUAUCCGACAUCGCCUAGCUUGUGAGUUUUAUUACUGGUGUAUAAGUUACGUGCUCUCCUAACUACGUGGAUUGUUUUGAGUUGUAAGGCUCAAUAACAAAAUCGUGAUGUGUUGUGUGCACAAAGUAAGAAAAAGAAGGCCAAUAAUUUUAAUUUUACAAUAUACAUCAUGUGCUUUUCAUCCAUCGAAAGUUAUUACAUGGAUGUUUUGUUCUAAGAACUGAUUUUGGCAUUUUCUCCUAUUAUUAAUUGUCAUUAGAAAAAGGAAAACAGUGAAAAUACAUUCACGAAACACGUGCUUGGAUCUUCUAUUCAUGAAUUCCUAGAAUCUGGGAAGCAAAAUAAAUGGAUCCCACAUUUUUUCACCCCGCAGCACUGGCACUUCAAAGGCGGAAAAACAUUAAAGUGGACUGCCUGAGGAAUGCAAUUGCAUUUCCAAAAACCAUUAAAAUCCUCUUCACAGAACAGAUAGUACCCCAAAUGUAAGUGAUAUGAUUCUACAUAAUUAACUCUGCUCUGAAAUAUCUGUGUGUCAUGCGGACCACAAUCUUUUGUGGUUUUCACUUUGAGCUCAAAAGAAAAUGAAAACCAUGUGCCACAAUCUACAUGACGGUUUGAAAAUGCUAAAAUAGCACUAAAUGCAAUGACCUGCACUCUGCUAUUAUUGAAGAAAUCUGGUGGCAUCUCCAAGUUUAUAAAAGAUCCCACACAUUGAAACUUAAACCACUUUGGAAUUUCAUUCCCAGGUAGUACUAUAUGACCUUUGCCCAUGGAAAAACCUCUCUGUACCAAAAAAACAUAAUUUUAAACCCCCAAAAAAAAAAAGAUUGUAGAAAUUGUAAGUAGAGAGAGUUAAAGACACACAUUUACCCAUAUUUCUUGCAAACAUACAGCUAGCAUAUGGCUCAGGGUAUCUUGAACAAUUCCUGCAGUAGAAUCACCUUACAAUUUAAAAUUAUUACUCCGGUAUAAAAAAAUAAAAAAAACUGCCUAUAAGAUUCAUAACUUAGAGAACAAACCUAAAAAUGGUUGCAGUGCCAGGCGGCCUCGUUCAAUGAAUGAAGGCUUUGGUGAGGAUUGAAGCCUCUCACUCUAACUUAAGAGGAGGUAUCGCAACAUGACAAGUUGGGUAAUGCUUUUUGGUAUUCUCUUAAUAUUGGUUUUCGCUAGAUUCAAUACUAUUGGCGAGGAAAAUUGGCCAAGACAUUCCGGCAAUCUUUGAAGAUUUGAGCAACCACAGAGAUUAAGAACUCCAAGAGAUUUCGACUAACAUAGGCUGCUUGGGAGACUCUUAAGCCUUUUACAAUCUGAAAGGUCCAAGUACCCGAGCCUAAGGAGACGCUCAAUUGAUGAGGGCAGUUCUUCAAUUGCAGUCCCCCUUAAAAAAAACCAGCUUAUAUUACCUGAUGAGAUCUCUGGAAGCCUUUUCAAUUUUGAGCAGCCCGAAAGAUCAAGUUUGGUAAGAAAUUCCAAGCUAAAUAUUCCAGAUGGAAGACUUUUCAGGCUUUUGCUACCUUUUAGAUUCAAGAAAACUAGCUUGUUCAGACGUGACAUCAACGUGGGAUUUGGAGUUUUGGCAAUUAGCUUAUUGCAGGCAGCAUGGAUUAUCUGGUUUAAAUUACUAUAAUGCUGCUCAGUCAAAAAAGAGGCCAACAAAAAAUCGUUACCACGUAUAAUAAUUGAAUGUUGUUAUUGAGAGAUUGCACAUAUAUAAUAAGAUAUCCAUACCUUCACACAAUCCCAAAGUCACUAUCAGGCACUUCAAGUAACACAAGUUUCUCUGCACUAAGGUUUGAAGGCAAUGACUUCAACGGAUAUCCAUACCAGUGAAGAUAUUUCACUUCAGCAAAUCCGGAAUCUUGCAAAUAAGAUAUCUUACAUUUGUUCUCUCCAUUGAUUGAUGAACUAUAGAACUUUAAAAAUCUCAAUUUAGGCAUCUUUGUGAAAGUAUUAUGAUUUAGA
rnacentral:lncRNA from 1 species